GACGAACGCUGGCGGCGUGCUUAACACAUGCAAGUCGAACGGAAAGGCCCUGCUUUUGUGGGGUGCUCGAGUGGCGAACGGGUGAGUAACACGUGAGUAACCUGCCCUUGACUUUGGGAUAACUUCAGGAAACUGGGGCUAAUACCGGAUAGGAGCUCCUGCUGCAUGGUGGGGGUUGGAAAGUUUCGGCGGUUGGGGAUGGACUCGCGGCUUAUCAGCUUGUUGGUGGGGUAGUGGCUUACCAAGGCUUUGACGGGUAGCCGGCCUGGGAGGGUGACCGGGCACAAUGGGACUGAGAGACGGCGCAGACGCCUACGGGAGGCAGCAGUGGGGAAUAUGGCAGAAUGGGCGGAAGCCUGAUGCAGCAACGCCGCGUGCGGGAUGACGGCCUUCGAGUUGUAAACCGCUUUCGCCUGUGACGAAGCGUGAGUGACGGUAAUGGGUAAAGAAGCACCGGCUAACUACGUG
rnacentral:rRNA from 1 species